AUUGAACGCUGGCGGCAGGCCUAACACAUGCAAGUCGAACGGUAGCACAGAGAGCUUGCUCUCGGGUGACGAGUGGCGGACGGGUGAGUAAUGUCUGGGAAACUGCCCGAUGGAGGGGGAUAACUACUGGAAACGGUAGCUAAUACCGCAUAACGUCGCAAGACCAAAGUGGGGGACCUUCGGGCCUCACACCCUCGGAUGUGCCCAGAUGGGAUUAGCUAGUAGGUGGGGUAAUGGCUCACCUAGGCGACGAUCCCUAGCUGGUCUGAGAGGAUGACCAGCCACACUGGAACUGAGACACGGUCCAGACUCCUACGGGAGGCAGCAGUGGGGAAUAUUGCACAAUGGGCGCAAGCCUGAUGCAGCCAUGCCGCGUGUAUGAAGAAGGCCUUCGGGUUGUAAAGUACUUUCAGCGGGGAGGAAGGCGGUGAAGUUAAUAGCUUCACCGAUUGACGUUACCCGCAGAAGAAGCACCGGCUAACUCCGUGCCAGCAGCCGCCGUAAAAC
rnacentral:rRNA from 1 species